rnacentral:rRNA from 1 species
UUCCUUUUAGCGGCGGACUGGUGAGUACGCGUGGGUGACCUACCUAAAGGUUGGGGAUAGCACGUUAGAAAUAGCGGGUAAUACCGAAUACGAUCGUCGAACUAUGGUUUGAUGAUGAAAGGAGCUACGGCUCCGCCUUAAGAUGGGCCCGCGUCCCAUUAGCUAGUUGGCGGUGUAACUGACCACCAAGGCGAAGAUGGGUAGCCGGCCUGAGAGGGUGAACGGACACAUUGGGACUGAGAUACGGCCAGACUCCUACGGGAGGCAGCAGCUAAGAAUAUUCCGCAAUGGACGGAAGUCUGACGGAGCGACGCCGCGUGGAUGACGAAGGCCGAAAGGUUUGUAAAAUCCUUUUGCAGACGAAGAAUAAGCGCAGUAGGGAAUGAUUGCCGUGAUGACGUUAGUCUGCGAAU